GCCGGCCCCGCCGCGCCUCUCGUUUUCAGCGGGUAGCGAGCGGCGGCGGCAGCAGCGGCGGCGGCAGCAGCAGCAGCAGCAGCAUCCCCUCCGCCGCGGAGACGCCCGGCAUUGCGCGGGGGGAAGGCAAGGCGAGGAAACUGGGAGAGAGGUGCGGAGAAUGGCGAUCACUGCAAGAGCUGUAAUGGAUCAUUACAAUACCUGACUGCACACUCAACAUCCAGUAGUGGCAGAAAGGUGGAGGACGUGCUGGUGGUUCGGAGCCAGCGUUCUAGUGGCUGGAGAUCUUUAAAAUAAAAACCAAGAGAUGACUGCCUACUGGCCUGAUAGUCUGAUCAGCUCCUCCCUCUAAGAACACCAGAAUGAAUCUUGUAAUGCUUGGCUGACCGUUCUCAGAAGGCGUUACCAUUCUGAAGGCUCUCAAUCACCUCCUCUGCAAGACUGAAUACCUGGCGUAAAUCUUUCAGCUUGGAUGUUGUUACUGCUUUUGAUUCCUUACGUCCGCUGUCAUCACCAAAUGCCCCCCAUCAUUAAGGUCAAUCCACCCAACCAAAGCUGAAGGACAGAAAAGUGAGGGUAUAGUGAGGAUAGUACACCAAAAAGAAAGCGAAUAGCAGGGUGGGGCUGGACAAGAUGAAAGACGUCAUGGUUGACAUAGUAAUCAGUGCGAAUGAGAAACUAGGCAUCCAGCCCCAUAAAUAGGCACUGGACUGUAUUUCUCACAGAACAGUCUUGAGAAACUUAAAAGUUGCAAAUGCCAUGGCUGCCACUCCAUGGCUACAUCUGCCUUAGCAAGGAGCGCUGACCAGUGGGGCAGAAUCAUAGACUAAACCAGUUGUCUUACAGAUCCCGAUGGCCACAUCAUAAACGUUUUACAGAGCUCUAUUUUGGACUAGCUGUAAUCCAGUCCGUCCUGUCAGCAGAAUGAGGGUCAGUGGUUGGAGCACUGAAUGUAUUUCUGAAAAACAUCUGGUUUAGUUUCAUCUGAAAACAAUCCACUUUGUAUGCCCAGAUGCCACUCCAAAAUGUGAAGCAAGACAAAGUCAGCGAGGACAGCUGGGAUACCAACUUCAAAAACGCACUUCCGAUCUGAGCAAAGAUGGCAGUGUAAACGCACCCUGUGUGUUGGCUGAUGCUCAGUGCAAAAUCAGAUUCUCGAUAUUUUCUCUUAAUGUGUGACAGUCACUACGGUCUGAAAUUGAUAACACAUUAAGACACUAGUGUGCCGAAGGUUAUUUCUGAAAAAAAUAAUGGGGAAACACAGCAAAGGACUACAAAAUAAGUGUCACAGCCAGCACGCACUGUCCCACCCCAGAGUUUGGUUUACAGAACACCAGCAAAGCAAACGCGGUGAUUUUUCACUAACCUAUGAGCGCAAAAUAUGAGCAGAUGUAACAAAAAAAGCCAUACCAUCUGUCAAGCAAAGACCAUUUACAGCAAGAUAGCAUGUCUACAGCCCUCACUCUUCUAGGAAAUAUAGGGAAUAAAAAUGUGGCAUAUGAGAACUGAAACCUGAUUUGUAAUAUUCUAAGAGUCAGGCUCUUUAUGUGCUGAGAAAGACAAUCUAAUUGACAGAACUUCAGUCAGAUCCUUAACGUAGAAAUAGACCUGACUUUGUUAGAAAGUUGUCAAUACAUAAAAAGGAUCAUUCAAAUCCUGGAAUAGCUGAAUGCUUGGAUCAGUAUUUCUGUGUUUCACAGAGCAUAAAUCUCUCUGAAGAUUCUCUCCUGAGAAUAUAGGAACCAGGUUUUAUAGCCAGGACAAGCUGGGUUAAAAGCCAAGUCUCCCAAGUCACACUUUGCCCCCCUGUCACUUAGACCUGGAUGAAAUGUUGAGUUCCAUUAUGGCUGCUUCCCUUCCGCCCUGCUCAGUCCUGAACACGCAAGUCCAAAAUGCUCCUUUUAACCUCUGUUGUCAGAACUAGGCUUUGGACGACCACAAAAAGAAGCAGAGGCCAGAACAGCAGGGACAGAAACUGACAGCAACGGAGAGUGUGGGAUUGCAGCCCCCCACAAACCAGCUUACUCAUCCUUCAUUGAAUGGAGCGCUACAUUACUUGUGCUGUUGCUGCAGCAACUUUCCCCAGUCCCUGAACAGCACCACAAAGGCACCGCCUUUAUACAGAAGGGCCUGAAUAUGUACAUACCUGUGAAUGCUCAAACACUUGUUUGAAACCUGGUUUGAUUCCUCUCUGCAACA